rnacentral:lncRNA from 1 species
AGACAUGCGCAGUGCGGCCGUCCCUAGAGGCGGGUUAACGGCCGCGGACCUGGCAGUUCUCAGGCUUCUCCAAGGGAGAAGCCCCCUUGCCAGGGUCUCGAUUUCCCGCCAACCAACAAAGGUUCAUUUGCCUCUUAUGGCCUGCGCGGGAGGGUUGCCAUGCUGUCACAAAUCCUCCUCUGCAUCCCAGGAGUGCCGCUUGGUCCUCGGGCUCGCAGCGUGGCCCACACCUGGGUCGGGCCUCUCACGGGGACGCUCCCGCCACUGUGAUAAAGAGGAGAAAACGUCACAGGGGAAGGGCCUGACCCUGCUGCAUCCAUUUUUUAGAUUAAGUACUGCACGACUACUCGCUUCUGAAACUGUCAUAAGAAACUGCCUCAGCUCCCUGCAGGGUGGACACACAAGAGCAGAAUCUCCGUGGGACAUCUCUUUGGAGCAUCAAUAUUACUACAGUAUUUGGAAGACACAAAUUUAAAUAAUUUCUAAGGUAAAGAAUGGAACAUUUAAGACAAGGCUGGAAAGUCAUCUGCCUUUAAUAACUCAUCUGUGCCUCACAUGUCAGACUUUCUCCAAGAAAAAAACUAAGGAGAACUUAUUUCCAUUCUUAUAAGUAGUAAAAAUAAUAAAUCAUAUCAAGUCAAUUGAAA